UGUUGUGUGUCUGCAGACGGUCUCACUGGUUGUGUUUUCCUCCACAUUGUUAUCAGGAGAGGACUCAUACGAAAGCUUACCUGUUGUGUUUUUCUCAAGUGCUGUACCGGCAUCGGAAACCACAGUCCAGUCCUCCUCGUCCAGCCAGGGACAGAAGUUACUGCAGAAGCUGAUGGUCUCCAAAAAUGACCCUGGACACCAAAAUCAGUCAUAAUGGUCAGUUUAUUAAUAAUAAAAUAUAU
ensembl:processed_transcript